CGUUGAAAGACCGGUUCGCGUCCGAUCACCGAAAUGAAGCAACGUUGAGUUUUGUCAUUACCUAAAUGGGUGACUGCUUGGGAAUAUCAGGUGCUGUAAG